UGUGUCUCUAAGUUAGUGUUGAUCCUACCCUAGAGGACACAUUCACAGACAUCAAAGAGAAGAAAAUCAGAAUCCAGAGCAUCCCUGAGCCUCAGCAUUUGUCUCAGGAAGGAUCUCUCACUGGGCCUGAAGCUUACUGAUUUUUCUGGACAAGUUUAUCUAGUAUCCAGGGAUUUCCUGUCUUCCCCUCCCUAGCACUGGGAUCACAGGCGAACCACAAGUGAAGGAUCAGCAGAGAACACCCACCGCUGUGCUCAGACAGUGGCAGCCUUAGAAGAGCUAUCAGUACAAGAAAUCAGUGCUACCCACAUUGAGCUGUUGAUUGAAGAAACCUAUGAGGUCCCCAAAACAAGACAUGCUUCUGCCACAGCACUUGAUUAGCUGCCUGAGGUAAAAG